rnacentral:tRNA from 2 species
UGCCGGAUCGUCUAACGGUAGGACUCCGCCCUCUGGAGGCGGCUAUCUUGGUUCGAAUCCAGGUCCGGCAGCUA